rnacentral:rRNA from 1 species
AGAUUGAACGCUAGCGGGAUGCUUUACACAUGCAAGUCGAACGGCAGCGCGGACUUCGGUCUGGCGGCGAGUGGCGAACGGGUGAGUAAUAUAUCGGAACGUGCCCAGUAGCGGGGGAUAACUACGCGAAAGCGUGGCUAAUACCGCAUACGCCCUACGGGGGAAAGGGGGGAUCGUCGAACUCUCACAUGUAGCG